rnacentral:rRNA from 1 species
UACGUAGGGGGCAAGCGUUGUCCGGAAUCAUUGGGCGUAAAGCGCGUGUAGGCGGCUAGGUAAGUCUGCUCUGAAAGCCCGGGGCUCAACCCCGGGAGGCGGGUGGAUACUGUCUAGCUCGAGUCCGGAAGAGGAGUGUGGAAUUCCUGGUGUAGCGGUGAAAUGCGCAGAUAUCAGGAUGAACACCGGUGGCGAAGGCGGGUCUCUGGGCAACUACUGACGCUGAGGAGCGAAAGCGUGGGGAGCGAACAGG